rnacentral:rRNA from 1 species
GUUUACCUACGGGGCGCAGCAGUGGGGAAUCUUCCGCAAUGGGCGCAAGCCUGACGGAGCAAUGCCGCGUGAACGAAGAAGGUCUUCGGAUUGUAAAGUUCUGUCCUUAUCGAAGAGAGGGUAUAGAGUGAAAAAUGAUAUACUAGGACGGUAGAUGAGGAGGAAGCCCCGGCUAACUACGUGCCAGCAGCCGCGGUAAUACGUAGGGGGCGAGCGUUAUCCGGAUUUAUUGGGUUUAAAGGGUGCGUAGGCGGAUUUUUAAGUCAGCGGUAAAAUGUCCGGGCUCAACCCGGGCCGGCCGUUGA